rnacentral:tRNA from 27 species
GGGCGAUUAGCUCAGCGGGAGAGCACUGCCUUCACACGGCAGGGGUCGCUGGUUCAAUCCCAGCAUCGCCCACCA